rnacentral:rRNA from 1 species
ACGGUGCUGAAGCAACAAAUGCCCUGCUUCCAGGAAAAGCCUCUAAGCAUCAGGUAACAUCAAAUCGUACCCCAAACCGACACAGGUGGUCAGGUAGAGAAUACCAAGGCGCUUGAGAGAACUCGGGUGAAGGAACUAGGCAAAAUGGUGCCGUAACUUCGGGAGAAGGCACGCUGACACGUAGGUGAAGUGAUUUACUCAUGGAGCUGAAGUCAGUCGAAGAUACCAGCUGGCUGCAACUGUUUAUUAAAAACACAGCACUGUGCAAACACGAAAGUGGACGUAUACGGUGUGACGCCUGCCCGGUGCCGGAAGGUUAAUUGAUGGGGUCAGCGCAAGCGAAGCUCCUGAUCGAAGCCCCGGUAAACGGCGGCCGUAACUAUAACGGUCCUAAGGUAGCGAAAUUCCUUGUCGGGUAAGUUCCGACCUGCACGAAUGGCGUAAUGAUGGCCAGGCUGUCUCCACCCGAGACUCAGUGAAAUUGAACUCGCUGUGAAGAUGCAGUGUACCCGCGGCAAGACGGAAAGACCCCGUGAACCUUUACUAUAGCUUGACACUGAACAUUGAGCCUUGAUGUGUAGGAUAGGUGGGAGGCUUUGAAGUGUGGACGCCAGUCUGCAUGGAGCCGACCUUGAAAUACCACCCUUUAAUGUUUGAUGUUCUAACGUGGACCCGUAAUCCGGGUUGCGGACAGUGUCUGGUGGGUAGUUUGACUGGGGCGGUCUCCUCCUAAAGAGUAACGGAGGAGCACGAAGGUUGGCUAAUCCUGGUCGGACAUCAGGAGGUUAGUGCAAUGGCAUAAGCCAGCUUGACUGCGAGCGUGACGGCGCGAGCAGGUGCGAAAGCAGGUCAUAGUGAUCCGGUGGUUCUGAAUGGAAGGGCCAUCGCUCAACGGAUAAAAGGUACUCCGGGGAUAACAGGCUGAUACCGCCCAAGAGUUCAUAUCGACGGCGGUGUUUGGCACCUCGAUGUCGGCUCAUCACAUCCUGGGGCUGAAGUAGGUCCCAAGGGUAUGGCUGUUCGCCAUUUAAAGUGGUACGCGAGCUGGGUUUAGAACGUCGUGAGACAGUUCGGUCCCUAUCUGCCGUGGGCGCUGGAGAACUGAGGGGGGCUGCUCCUAGUACGAGAGGACCGGAGUGGACGCAUCACUGGUGUUCGGGUUGUCAUGCCAAUGGCACUGCCCGGUAGCUAAAUGCGGAAGAGAUAAGUGCUGAAAGCAUCUAAGCACGAAACUUGCCCCGAGAUGAGUUCUCCCUGAGACUUAGAGUCUCCUGAAGGAACGUUGAAGACGACG